rnacentral:tRNA from 1 species
ACCUGGCUGGCUCAAUAGGUAGAGCAGGUGACUCUUGAUCUCAGGGUUGUGAGUUCAAGCCCCACAUUGGGCA